AUACGGAGGGUGCAAGCGUUAAUCGGAAUUACUGGGCGUAAAGCGUACGUAGGCGGUUAUUUAAGUCAGAUGUGAAAGCCCCGGGCUUAACUUGGGUACUGCAUUUGAAACUGGGUAACUAGAGUUUAGUAGAGGGGAGUGGAAUUUCAGGUGUAGCGGUGAAAUGCGUAGAGAUCUGAAGGAACACCAGUGGCGAAGGCGACUCCCUGGACUAAAACUGACGCUGAGGUACGAAAGCGUGGGUAGCAAACAGGAUUAGAAACCCUAGUAGUCC
rnacentral:rRNA from 1 species